rnacentral:rRNA from 1 species
UGGGGAAUAUUGGACAAUGGGCGAAAGCCUGAUCCAGCCAUGCCGCGUGUGUGAAGAAGGUCUUCGGAUUGUAAAGCACUUUAAGUUGGGAGGAAGGGUACUUACCUAAUACGUGAGUAUUUUGACGUUACCGACAGAAUAAGCACCGGCUAACUCUGUGCCAGCAGCCGCGGUAAUACAGAGGGUGCAAGCGUUAAUCGGAAUUACUGGGCGUAAAGCGCGCGCAGGUGGUUUGUUAAGUUGGAUGUCAAAGCCCCGGGCUCAACCUGGGAACUGCAUCCAAAACUGGCAAGCUAGAGUAUGGUAGAAGGUGGUGGAAUUUCCUGUGUAGCGGUGAAAUGCGUAGAUAUAGGGGGGAUCACCAGUGGCGACGGCGACCACCUGGGCUGAUACUGACACUGAGGUGCGAAAGCGUGGGGAGCAAACA